AUACGUAGGGGGCGAGCGUUGUCCGGAAUGAUUGGGCGUAAAGGGCGCGUAGGCGGCGCGGUAAGUCUGGAGUGAAAGUCCUGCUUUCAAGGUGGGAAUUGCUUUGGAUACUGCCGCGCUUGAGUGCAGGAGAGGUUAUCGGAAUUCCCGGUGUAGCGGUGAAAUGCGUAGAGAUCGGGAGGAACACCAGUGGCGAAGGCGGGUAACUGGACUGCAACUGACGCUGAGGCGCGAAAGUGUGGGGAGCAAACAGGAUUAGAUACCCUGGUAGUCCACACUGUAAACGAUGAAUGCUAGGUGUAAGAGGUAUCGACCCCUUUUGUGCCGGAGUCAACACAAUAAGCAUUCCGCCUGGGGAGUACGGCCGCAAGGCUUAAACUCAAAGGAAUUGACGGGG
rnacentral:rRNA from 1 species